GCCAGGUGUGGUGGUGCACGCCUGUAAUUCCAGCUACCCGGGAGGCUGAGGCAGGAGAAUUGCUUGAACCCAGGAGGCGGAGGUUGCAGUGAGCCGAGAUCAUGCCGCUGCACUCCAGCCUGGGUGACAGAGUGAGACUCUGCCUCAA
rnacentral:SRP_RNA from 2 species